AUAACAAAAUUAGAAAAUUGUAAAACUUACUGAAUAAUAAAAUAAUGAAAUAGUAAAAUGGUAUAACUGAUGUCUUUCAACUCGAGCAUAAAUUGGAUUUAAGUGAGGCAGUGUUGUGUGAAAUCAUCAGCCCUGCUCCUUCUUCCAAUCGCUGGCGCCCAACAGCAAGACAAAAGUCAAGAUGACUGGUGAUGGCUCUGGAUGCAGUGGAUGACCUUGACGUCUUGGGUGUCUGACCACGCUCUAAGAGCUCCAUGGUGCCUGCUUCAGCUGCCUUCAUGGGCCAUUGAAACAAAAUGUUCUUAUCCACCCACUCUACUGUGGGAAGGCUUCACCUGCUUGGGGCACAUACUUCCUCACCUCCAGUAGGUGGAGGCCCGUCGGGAACCCUCAACCUGGUUUAGCCCAUCUGCAAAGAUGGUUUUACUGGAAUGUGGCCACUGCGCAUGCUACAGCUUCUUGGAACCACAGAGUGGAGUAGGCCUUUGUGAGUCAAGGCACGAGACUGGAGGAGCUUUGUGAAUUUGGAGAGAGUUAGCCCUGGCAAGCAAGAAUUGAGCUCAGGAAUCUCAGUUGAAUGACCUGCCAAGCAGAGAUACCGCAUUCAGGGGGAACCUCAUGAAGACACUAUAAGAAGGAAAGAACGUUGUGCUCCUGCAGUCAGAGGUGUGAGUUUCCUGCAUGUGCACCUCUCUAUUCUUACAUUCUAUAUGUGUGUCCAUUCUUCCCACUGAUGCUGUGUGGGAUGGGAAGACAGUGACCCAGGUUUAAGGAGGAAAUGAUUUGUUUCUAUUUUUCAUGCUUUGCCACUUCAGUAAAUAUCUUUAUUUUGA